CGGGGAUCGCAAUGGGCGCAGCUGAUGCAGCCAUGCCGCGUGUGUGAUGAAGGCCUUUCGGGUUGUAAAGCACUUUCAGUCCUGAGGAAGGUAGUGUAGUUAAUAGCUGCAUUAUUUGACGUUAGCGACAGAAGAAGCACCGGCUAACUCCGUGCCAGCAGCCGCGGUAAUACGGAGGGUGCGAGCGUUAAUCGGAGUUACUGGGCGUAGAGCGCAUGCAGGUGGUUUGUUAAGUCAGAUGUGAAAGCCCGGGGCUCAACCUCGGAAUAGCAUUUGAAACUGGCAGACUAGAGUACUGUAGAGGGGGGUAGAAUUUCAGGUGUAGCGGUGAAAUGCGUAGAGAUCUGAAGGAAUACCGGUGGCGAAGGCGGCCCCCUGGACAGAUACUGACACUCAGAUGCGAAAGCGUGGGGAGCAAACAGGAUUAGAUACCCUGGUAGUCCACGCCGUAAACGAUGUCUACUUGGAGGUUGUGGCCUUGAGCCGUGGCUUUCGGAGCUAACGCGUUAAGUGGACCGCCUGGGGAGUACGGUCGCAAGAUUAAAACUCAAAUGAAUUGACGGGGGCCCGCACAAGCGGUGGAGCAUGUGGUUUAAUUCCAUGCAACGCGAACAACCUUACCUACUCUUGACAUCCUAGAACUUUCCAGAGAUGGAUUGGUGCCUUCGGGAACUCUGACACGGGUGCUGCAUGGCUGUCGUCAGCUCGUGUUGUGAAAUGUUGGGUUAAGUCCCGCAACGAGCGCAACCCUUAUCCUUGUUUGCCAUCACUUCUCGUGGGAGCUCCACGGAGACUGCCGAUGAUAAAGCGGAGGAAAGUGGGGACGACGUCAAGUCAUCAUGGCCCUUACGAGUACGGGCUACACACGUGCUACAAUGGCGCAUACAAAGGGCAGCCAACUUGCGAGAGUGAGCGAAUCCUAAAAAGUGCGUCGUAGUCCUGAUCGGAGUCUGCACUCGACUCCGUGAAGUCGGAAUCGCUAGUCAUCAUGAUCAGAAUGCCACGGUGAAUACGUUCCCGGGCCCUUGUCCACAACGCCCGUCACAUCGUGGGGAGUGGGCUGCAGAUUGAUGUCAGUAGCUAAUCCUUGGGUGAGGCACGCUUACCACGUUGUAGUCAGAAGCGGGGGGAGGACAAUGUA
rnacentral:rRNA from 1 species